rnacentral:rRNA from 1 species
GUGAGGAAUAUUGGUCAAUGGGCGAGAGCCUGAACCAGCCAAGUCGCGUGAAGGAUGAAGGCCCUAUGGGUCGUAAACUUCUUUUAUACGGGAAUAACGAGCCUUACGGGUAGGGCGCUGAAUGUACCGUAGGAAUAAGCAUCGGCUAACUCCGUGCCAGCAGCCGCGGUAAUACGGAGGAUGCGAGCGUUAUCCGGAUUUAUUGGGUUUAAAGGGUGCGUAGGUUGCUUGGUAAGUCAGCGGUGAAAACUGAACGCUCAACGUUCAGCGUGCCGUUGAAACUGUCAGGCUUGAGUGCAGUGGCGGCAGGCGGAAUUCGUGGUGUAGCGGUGAAAUGCAUAGAUAUCACGAGGAACUCCGAUUGCGAAGGCAGCUUGCCAUACUGUAACUGACACUGAAGCACGAAGGCGUGGGUAUCAAACAGGAUUAGAAACCCUAGUAGUCC